rnacentral:misc_RNA from 1 species
UCGCGGCUUAUCACCGGCAGUCCCCUUAGAGUGCCCAACUGAAUGAUGGCAACUAAGGGCGAGGGUUGCGCUCGUUGCGGGACUUAACCCAACAUCUCACGACACGAGCUGACGACAGCCAUGCAGCACCUGUGCUCCUCCCACCCGAGGUGAAAGAAUCCAUUUCUGGAAACUAUAGAGGGCAUGUCAAGACCUGGUAAGGUUCUUCGCGUUGCCUCGAAUUAAACCACAUGUUCCACCGCUUGUGCGGGUCCCCGUCAAUUUCUUUGAGUUUUAAUCUUGCGACCGUACUCCCCAGGCGGGGUGCUUAAUGCGUUAGCUGCGCCACUGACCGGUAAACCGGCCAACGGCUAGCAUCCAUCGUUUACGGCGUGGACUAC